rnacentral:rRNA from 1 species
AGCGAACGCUGGCGGUAGGCCUAACACAUGCAAGUCGAACGGCAGCACAGUAAGAGCUUGCUCUUACGGUUGGCGAGUGGCGGACGGGUGAGGAAUACAUCGGCAUCUACUUUUUCGGGGAGGAUAACGGAGGGAAACUGAUGCUAAUACAGCAUAAGACCUACGACUGAAAGCAGGGGAGAUUCGGACAUUGCCAGCUUGAAUGAGUCGAUGUCGGAUUAGCUAGUUGGCGGGGUAAAGGCACACCAAGGAGACGAUCCGUAGCUGGUCUGAGAGGAUGAUCAGCCACACUGGAACUGAGACACGGUCCAGACUCCUACGGGAGGCAGCAGUGGGGAAUAUUGGACAAUGGGCGCAAGCCUGAUCCAGCCAUACCGCGUGGGUGAAGAAGGCCUUCGGGUUGUAAAGCCCUUUUGUUGGGAAAGAAAAGCAGCAGGUUAAUACCCCGCUGUUCUGACGGUACCCAAAGAAUAAGCACCGGCUAACUUCGUG